rnacentral:rRNA from 1 species
ACGAACGCUGGCGGCGUGCUUAACACAUGCAAGUCGAGCGAAGAGCGAUGGAAGCUUGCUUCUAUCAAUCUUAGUGGCGAACGGGUGAGUAACGCGUAAUCAACCUGCCCUUCAGAGGGGGACAACAGUUGGAAACGACUGCUAAUACCGCAUACGAUCCAAUCUCGGCAUCGAGACUGGAUGAAAGGUGGCCUCUAUUUAUAAGCUAUCACUGAAGGAGGGGACUGCGUCUGAUUAGCUAGUUGGAGGGGUAACGGCCCACCAAGGCGAUGAUCAGUAGCCGGUCUGAGAGGAUGAACGGCCACAUUGGGACUGAGACACGGCCCAGACUCCUACGGGAGGCAGCAGUGGGGAAUCUUCCGCAAUGGACGAAAGUCUGACGGAGCAACGCCGCGUGAGUGAUGACGGCCUUCGGGUUGUAAAGCUCUGUUAAUCGGGACGAAUGGUUCUUGUGCGAAUAGUGCGAGGAUUUGACGGUACCGGAAUAGAAAGCCCGGC